rnacentral:lncRNA from 1 species
UUGUAGAGCCAGAUAGGACCACAGCUGAGUUUGAGGUGCCCCGCUUGACUCUUGGGGACAGUGGGCUCUGGGAGUGCCGCGUGUCCACAUCUGGUGGCCAAGACAGCCGGCGCUUCAGGAUCAAUGUCAAAGUGCCCCCAGUGGCCCUCAGUGCACCUCGGCUCCUGGCCAAGCAGAGCCGCCAGCUUGUGGUCUCCCCACUGGUCUCAUUCUCUGGGGAUGGGCCCAUCUCCUCCGUCCGCCUGCACUACCGGCCCCAGGACAGCACCAUGGCCUGGUCCACCAUUGUGGGUGAGUGGGGAGAGAGCUGGGGGCAGGAAACUACUGGGGCAGGAGGGCAUUGUUGGAUAAUCAUACAGGGAUGAGGUAAGAGUGGAAAGGGAGGGAGGAGAGUGUGAGGAGAAGAGAGGGGGCUGCAAGGAGAAUGGAGGCUUCUGGAAGAGGUUGGGACUAAACAAUGUGUGCUGCACACCCAUCCCCAGUGGACCCCAGUGAGAACGUGACGUUAAUGAACCUGAGGCCGAAGACAGGAUACAGUGUCCGUGUGCAGCUGAGCCGGCCAGGGGAAGGAGGAGAGGGGGUCUGUGGGCCUCCCGCGCUCAUGACCACUGACUGUCCUGGUGAGAGGCCAAAAGUCAGCCCUUCCUGUCUCUC